rnacentral:tRNA from 1 species
AGUGAAGUCAGCUAACUAAGCUCUUGGGCCCAUACCCCGAAAAUGUUGGUACAAACCUUCCUUCACUA